rnacentral:misc_RNA from 1 species
UCAUUCUCCUAUUGGUUUUUAGCUUGAUUAAAUCUCGCUGAAUUAUAGUGGUGUCGCUACCAGACUACAACAUGAUAGAUAUUUCGUUGGAUGUGACUGGGAUUGUUCACCUUAAAUAUUAUG